UACGAAGGGGGCUAGCGUUGCUCGGAAUGACUGGGCGUAAAGGGCGCGUAGGCGGUUUGUACAGUCAGAUGUGAAAUUCCUGGGCUCAACCUGGGGGCUGCAUUUGAUACGUAUGGACUGGAGUGAGGAAGAGGGUCGUGGAAUUCCCAGUGUAGAGGUGAAAUUCGUAGAUAUUGGGAAGAACACCGGUGGCGAAGGCGGCGACCUGGUCCUUUACUGACGCUGAGGCGCGAAAGCGUGGGGAGCGAACAGG
rnacentral:rRNA from 1 species